GGAAAUGUGGCUCAGUGGUAGAACACUUGUCUAGCAUGCAUGAGGCCUAGGUUCGAUCCCCAGCAUCA
rnacentral:tRNA from 1 species